rnacentral:rRNA from 1 species
AUUGAACGCUGGCGGCAGGCCUAACACAUGCAAGUCGAGCGGUGGAAGGGAGCUUGCUUCUGGAUUCAGCGGCGGACGGGUGAGUAAUGCCUAGGAAUCUGCCUGGUAGUGGGGGAGAACGUCCGGAAACGGGCGCUAAUAUCGCAUACGUCCUGAGGGUGAAAGAGGGGGAUCUUCGGACAUCACGCUAUCAGAUGCGCCUAGGUCGGAUUAGCUAGUUGGUGGGGUAAAGGCCUACCAAGGCGACGAUCAUUAACUGGUCUGAGAGGAUGAUCAGUCACACUGGAACGGAGACACGGUCCAGACUCCUACGGGAGGCAGCAGUGGGGAAUAUUGGACAAUGGGCGAAAGCCUGAUCCAGCCAUGCCGCUUGUGUGAAGAAGGUCUUCGGAUUGUAAAGCACUUUAAGUGGGGAGGAAGGGCAGUAAGUUAAUACCUUGCUGUUUUGACGGUACCUACAGAAUAAGCACCGGCUAACUUCGUG